rnacentral:rRNA from 1 species
GGUGAGUAACACGUGAGUAAUCUGCCUUUCACUUCGGGAUAACUACCGGAAACGGUGGCUAAUACCGGAUAUGAGCGUCCCACGCAUGUGGGGUGUUGGAAAGUUUUUCGGUGGAGGAUGUGCUCGCGGCCUAUCAGCNUGUUGGUGGGGUAAUGGCCUACCAAGGCUUCGACGGGUAGCCGGCCUGAGAGGGUGACCGGCCACACUGGGACUGAGACACGGCCCAGACUCCUACGGGAGGCAGCAGUGGGGAAUAUUGGACAAUGGGCGGAAGCCUGAUCCAGCAACGCCGCGUGAGGGGUGACGGCCUUCGGGUUGUAAACCUCUUUCAGCGCCGACGAAGCGAGAGUGACGGUAGGCGCAGAAGAAGCACCGGCCAACUACGUGCCAGCAGCCGCGGUAAUACGUAGGGUGCGAGCGUUGUCCGGAAUUAUUGGGCGUAAAGGGCUCGUAGGCGGUUUGUCGCGUCGGGAGUGAAAACACCGGGCUUAACUCGGUGCUUGCUUUCGAUACGGGCAGACUAGAGGUAUGCAGGGGAGAACGGAAUUCCUGGUGUAGCGGUGAAAUGCGCAGAUAUCAGGAGGAACACCGGUGGCGAAGGCGGUUCUCUGGGCAUUACCUGACGCUGAGGAGCGAAAGUGUGGGGAGCGAACAGGAUUAGAUACCCUGGUAGUCCACACC